rnacentral:lncRNA from 1 species
CUAAGUGUUCUUGGUUGUGCAAAGAGGUGAGGGAUCUGCUCAAAAUCCUUAUUUUGAAUACGUAGCAUGCAUUUUAGACCUCUAGCUCGAAUCCACAUCCUAAUUCAAUCUCUUGUAUCCAGUUUCAUAACUUAUUUCCUGACUUGAAGUAUAAUCCCAUCAAUUUCAUUCCCACCAUCUCCAUCUCAUUAACAGCCAAUGUGUAUCUGAUGCUCAUGAUGUUCCAGAUGCUGUACAAAUAACGUCCAUGCAUCAUUCCGCCACAUCACUGAAGUCUCAGCGUAUGCCCACAAAGCAUCCACUACCUGGUGAUGAACAUGUGUAAGGUAGAUCACACAAGGGUUUGUAUCCAAGAAAUGAUGGAGUGAGAAUUUGUUCUCUGAUCCCGAGAGUCUGCGCUAUUGAUGACUAACCCCACUGGAGGCCUUACACACAUUCUCAGUGGUGUGAAAACACAACUCCAGGUCUGCUAUACUAAAGUUACUACUCCGCCUAGUUUCUCUGUCUUGUCAAAUAACGAUGCUCUUUUCUUCCUUAGUCUGAGUUCUCAUUUCUCACCUAUGUAAUCUCACGAGAUUAUGAUCAUCACUUUUGAACUGCUGUUACACUCCAGUCUAUCCUUCACUCACUGCUGUGUUUAAUGAUCUAGAAUGCAAAUAUGAUCCUGCUCUGUCGCUGUCUGAAAUCUGUCUAUGCUUUAGUAAUGCAUUUCAAGUCCUUAGAGCAAAAUCCAAAUACAGUUGAGAAUGUGGUCAGUAGUAAACACCCAGUGUCAUCGCUCAUAAUUUGCCAGCGGUCAUUAAUGGUACGUGCACAGCACAUCAAGCCACUUGACUGCUGAACAUGCUGGGGAAAUAAAAUCACACCAAAGAGACAAAAGAUAACAACAACAACAAAUGCCAUCACUGCCAAUCACAAAAAUGUACUGUUAGAUCUCUUGAAAUCCAGGAACACUCAAGCUGCAGAGAAGCCAGUUCCAAUGGUCUUGGCUGCCUGUAGCAUUAAAACCAGUGAUUCCCAAGUUUUCACCCAGGGAAUUUGCAAACCUCCCAUAUAUUUAGUCACAUAUGCACAAGCUGGUUUGGGAGAGCCAUAAUGGCUGACAGCUUCUUUUUUUCUCCCUUUCAAAUCUUGCAUGAAUGUAUUGGCAAAAUGUUGUUGAUAGCCACCCGACUGAGCAUGGAGUCCUGCCAGUGCAAUUACGUGGCUCUUAGUGCUGCUCCAGAGCAGGGCACGUAUUAGUCUAUGCAUGCUGUUGAGUAUCAAUAUAUCCUCUCUCCAGAAGUGAUACAGAAUCCACGCUCACCCUUUCCUGAUGCUUGCCUGGUCCUAGCCAGCAUAAUCUUUGACUAUCGUAUAGCAAGUGCCUCUAACGGAGCAUAAUAUGUUUGCUUUUGCCUUUUCCUAAUGCCCACCUUCAAUCCAGCAGCCAGAAUAUUCCUCUAAGGGUCUACAUCAAGUCACAUCACUCCUCAGAUCAAGACUUUCCAUCAGCUCUUAAUCUUACUCAAAAGUCAUGCAAAGGCCACGAUGGUUUAAGUUUCAGGUAACCUCCUGAUUUUUUUUCUCCUAUUAGUUUUUCUCCCCACUCACUCUGCUCACGUUAUACUGGCCUCCUUGAGGCUUCUUUAGCAGCGCAGGCAUCAUCAAAUACAGGAAUUUUGUCCUCCAUCUUUCCUCAUCAUCAACAGUCUGGCCAGCGUUCCGAGGACUCAGCGCCUCACUCAUUUACAUCUUUGUCUUUCCUCAAGUGCUACUUUCACAGUAGUCUUCACCCACUAUUCCAUAUAUAAUUGUGCCAAGUUCCCCAAACCAGGUGGAACUUCUUACUUCCUUUCCUGACUUGAUUUCUUUCAUAGCACUUAUCACCUUCUAAUAAACUAUAAAACAUCUUAACAUUCUUUCUAUUUAACACUUUUUUUGUCUUUUUAGGGCCACACCUGUGGCACAUGGAGGUUCCCAGGCUAGGGGUCGAAUUGGAGCUGUAGCCGCCAGCCUAUACCAGAGCCACCGCAAAGCCAGAUCCCAGCCGUGUCUGUGACUGACACCACAGCGUUGCCGGAUCCUUAACCCACGGAGCGAGGCCAGGGAUCGAACCUGCGACCUCAUGAAUACUAGUCAGAUUCGUUUCCACUGAGUCAUGAUGGCAAGUCCUAUUUAACACUUUUUAUUGUCUUAUUUUGUCUUUUUUGAUUGUGUCUACCCUAUCAACUCAGUUCCUCAAGGACCGAGAUUUUUGGCUGAUCUUUCAUAAUUUCAGUAACAAGAACAGAGCUUCACACAGAGCAGAAGCACAAUAAAUAUAAGUUGAGUUAAAAAAAUUGAGGAAGGGGUGACAUAUUCAGAUACCAGGGGCAGUGUGUGGCAAGGAGGAAGAAGAUCACCGUACGUGCUGGAGAAAAUGAAAGAUCAGGCAGGAAUAAACCCACAAAUAGUGAUGGAUUCUGGGAAGGGGGGAGUUAGAAAUAGAGGAAGAAAAAAGUGGCAACAGUUGGCUGCACAGUGAGCAAACCCUAAAAUAAUCAAAAACAUUCUUUAAUCACACGUAGAACCAAAUCCUCCAAAUGAAAAGCCUGAGCAGUGAAGACUGGGGGAUUAAAUCUGGUUAGACGCCAUUGGCAUAUUUGAAAAUAACGUCUUUUUUAUAUUUGUAUUUUUAAGUACUUUAUAUAUAAUAAAAUAAAGAAGAAUAACUAGGGCAUAGGAAAUGUUUACGAUUUUAGCAAUUGCUGGAGAUCCCUGGUGGCCCAGGAACUUCUGCAUGCUAAGGGGCAGCCAAAAAAAAAAAAAAAAAAUCAAAGCACAGUUAUAGCAAUUGGCCAUAGGGAAGGAACAAGCAUUUUAAAUGGAGACAUUCUUCAGCAGCAUGGGCCAUGUGGCUCCCCCUAGAGGUCAUGAACACAGGAUACAGAAGGCUCUGAUGUUUACAUCUUCACCACAAACGCAUCCCCAACAGACUCCAUCAACAACUGGAAUUUAAUCACACAUGACUCAGACGAUCAACUCUCUUGACCUUGACUUAAUAAGAAAAUAAAUCUUGAUAUGGUUUUCCGUGUGUCUGAAACUAGCAAAGCCUAACAAAUGAACUGUACAGAAGAGGGUCAGGGCUUGUGUAGCAUUUUCCGCAACCAGCACCUCAUGGAAUAGCAUAGAUAGUGACAAGAUAUGGGCUUAGCCAUGAAAACUCCUAGAAAGUUUAUUGGAAUCAGCGAUAGGAAUCUUCAGUCUUCUCUCAUUUCAAACUCCGCAUCUAUGAACUUGGAUAAAUCACAUAAGCUCCUGGGUUUCCGUCUUUUUAGCUCUAUGAUUCAAGUGUCUGGUUAUAGUUCUGGCUGAAUGGUGACCAUUUUUCGGAAGCCAUCUGUUAGAGCUGCAUCUGUGUACAUAAACCAGGUUCCUCAUGCACAGGACCCGUGUUCCAUAUAUGAAUGCGUCUGUGUUUAUUUCCCAUAGGCAUGUGUUAUGGGUAAUAUUCUGCCCUGUUCUUGUUACCGACUCUGAACUUGUACUGCUCACCACACUUCACGACAGGCCAGAAAAUGUAGGGAGGAGUCGUUGUGGGGAGGAAUAGCAAACAGGGUUGGGGUUAGGGUUACUCAGAAAGCCAGCAGACAGAGAAGAUGGGGUAGUAGUGUCCCCAAAACCAUCUUACCCAAGUUAGGCUUCUUUUACACUAAAAGUGGGGGAGGUUUGGCUUUUUUGCAAACGUCUUGGUGCCAGAAUCCUUUGUUCUUGUCGCUGUCCAUGUGGGUGUGGUCACCGUGUUCCCAGAGACCUCUGACGAGACAAAUGUCAUUCUCUGCCCUGCGAUUUUUCAUCUCUAUACGAAUAGAAAAGUGCUCUACCUUUAAAGGUCAGAGCCUUGAGAACAGGCGAUCCUGUCUAUUUCAGGCUCUAGGCAACAUUCUUCUACCAAUGCGCAGAAUCAGCAUGACUAAGCACAGCCACAGAGCACGAGG